AAUCCAGGUCAUAUGGCUGUUGAGAUGUGACUCACUCAUCUUCCCUUUACAGGAUGCCUACCCACCUUCUUCCCUGAGACAACAUCUGUCGGCCCUACUGCCACCCAGAUGGACUCAAGAACUCCAAAAUGCCUCAAGUUCAGUCCCAAUAGACCUCCACAGUCUGAUCAAUCACUCAACGCUAUUAAUUCAACCUGGUUAAGAACAGGUGCUAUGGAAAUGUCGGUUUGAAUCAUGGUCCUGCCACUUACCAGUUGAGAGACCUUGGGUAAGUCACUUAGCCUUGCAAAACCUUAGUUUCCUCACCUGUGAAACAGAGCCAGCC
rnacentral:lncRNA from 12 species